CAGUAGCCGCGGGAAUACAGAGGGUGCGAGCGUUAAUCGGAUUUACUGGGCGUAAAGCGUGCGUAGGCGGCUUCUUAAGUCGGAUGUGAAAUCCCUGAGCUUAACUUAGGAAUUGCAUUCGAUACUGGGAAGCUAGAGUAUAGGAGAGGAUGGUAGAAUUCCAGGUGUAGCGGUGAAAUGCGUAGAGAUCUGGAGGAAUACCGAUGGCGAAGGCAGCCAUCUGGCCUAAUACUGACGCUGAGGUACGAAAGCAUGGGGAGCAAACAGGAUUAGAUACCCCGGUAGUCCCUGUCUCUUAUAC
rnacentral:rRNA from 1 species